UCGUAAAUCUCUCUCGCUCCCUAUUUUCCCUUCUCUGACCGUUGCCCACCUUCCUACCGCGUCACGUCCUUCACGGCCCCCACCAUUCCCCUCGCCGUCGCCGCCGCCGCCGCACUCGCACUCGCCCUCUCCCUCGCCCCUCGCCGCCGGCGCAUCCUCCUCCGUCGACCUCCCCAUACACCUGCCUGAGAGGGGAUGGAGAACGGGGAGAUCGAGGGGGCGCCCGACGACGCGCUACCGGUGCCCGCGGCGCCGCCCAACGGCGGACGGAGGUAUCGUCCCGUCGGCUCUAGCGAUCGCGCCGUCGUCCAGAUGACCUCCAUGGAGCCCGGAUCCUCCUCGUCCUCCUCCACCACCGCAGUCGGUGGCAUCACGCCCCAGCCGCCGAGGAACCUAACAGUGGACCCGAGCAUGCAAGAAGGUUCCACGGGAUCUCAAGGGGAUUCAAAGCUUGAGCUUUUUGGUUUUGACUCCCUUGUAAAUAUUUUGGGCCUCAAGAGCAUGACAGGAGAACAGAUUCAGGCUCCUUCCAGUCCUAGGGAUGGCGAGGAUAUAGCAAUUACGAUUGGACGGCCAAAGGAAACUGGACCCAAGUUUGGUACCCUGAUGGGUGUGUUUGUCCCAUGCUUGCAGAAUAUAUUGGGAAUCAUUUAUUAUAUCCGUUUUACAUGGAUUGUAGGUAUGGCAGGUGCAUGGCAAUCGCUUGUUUUAGUCUCAUUCUGUGGGGCAUGCACAUUUUUAACUGGAAUAUCAUUGAGUGCCAUUGCAACGAAUGGAGCAAUGAAGGGUGGUGGGCCAUACUAUCUCAUUGGGCGUGCGCUUGGUCCUGAAGUUGGAGUUAGCAUUGGACUAUGCUUCUUCCUUGGAAAUGCAGUCGCUGGAUCCAUGUAUGUGCUAGGAGCUGUAGAAACCUUUUUGGAUGCAGUUCCUUCUGCUGGUUUUUUUAAAGAGAGUGUUACAGUAGUCAACAGUACAUUAGGAAAUGGUACUGCAACAUCUGGAGCAGCAACUAUAUCAACACCCAGCUUGCACGACCUUCAAGUAUAUGGUGUUAUUGUAACCAUACUGUUGUGCUUUAUUGUGUUUGGUGGUGUCAAAAUCAUCAACAAGGUUGCACCUGCGUUCUUAAUACCAGUCCUAUUUUCACUGUUGUGCAUUUUUCUUGGUGUUUUCAUUGCACCAAGGCACAAUGCUCCAAAGGGAAUCACUGGGUUGAGUAUAACCACAUUUAAGGACAACUGGGCUUCAGAAUAUCAACGCACAAACAAUGCUGGAGUUCCUGAUCCAAAUGGCUCUAUAUAUUGGGAUUUCAAUGCUUUGGUAGGCCUCUUUUUCCCAGCAGUCACUGGAAUUAUGGCUGGUUCAAACCGUUCUGCUUCAUUGAAGGACACACAACGUUCAAUACCAAUUGGAACAUUAGCUGCAACUCUUACAACAACUGCUAUGUACCUGUUUUCUGUCCUUCUAUUUGCAGCCUUGGCCACAAGAGAAGAGCUUCUGACUGAUAGGCUUCUUACCGCUACAGUGGCAUGGCCUGCUCCAGCAGUGAUUUACAUUGGUAUUAUUUUGUCUACCUUAGGUGCAGCGCUCCAGAGUUUGACAGGGGCUCCAAGAUUACUGGCAGCAAUAGCUAAUGAUGACAUUCUUCCAGUUCUUAAUUACUUCAAGGUUUCUGAAGGGGCUGAGCCUCACUCAGCCACUUUAUUCACAGCUUUCAUCUGUAUCUGUUGUGUGGUUAUUGGCAACCUGGAUUUGAUUACACCCACAAUCACAAUGUUUUUCCUUUUGUGCUAUGCUGGUGUGAACCUGUCAUGCUUUCUCCUUGAUCUCCUUGAUGCUCCUAGUUGGCGCCCUCGUUGGAAAUUUCACCAUUGGAGUCUAUCGCUUGUUGGUGCAUUGCUUUGCGUUGUGAUCAUGUUUUUGAUAUCAUGGUCUUUUACUGUUGUCUCCAUUGCCCUUGCAAGCCUCAUCUAUUACUAUGUGAGCCUAAAAGGUAAAGCUGGUGACUGGGGAGAUGGAUUUAAGAGUGCAUACUUUCAAUUGGCACUGAGAAGUCUCAGAUCAUUAGGAGCAAACCAAGUGCACCCUAAGAAUUGGUACCCCAUUCCUCUGAUAUUCUGCCGUCCUUGGGGUAAACUUCCGGAAAAUGUACCUUGUCAUCCGAAGCUUGCAGAUUUUGCAAACUGCAUGAAGAAGAAGGGGCGUGGUAUGUCUAUUUUUGUCUCGAUUAUUGAUGGUGAUUAUCAUGAACUGGCUGAGGAUGCCAAGACUGCUUGUCAUCAGCUGGACACUUACAUUGAGUACAAGCGCUGUGAGGGGGUUGCAGAGAUCAUUGUCGCGCCAUCAAUGUCUGAAGGUUUCCGCAGCAUUGUUCAGACAAUGGGACUGGGUAACUUGAAGCCCAAUAUUAUUGUGAUGCGUUACCCUGAGAUUUGGCGUCGUGAGAAUCUGACACAAAUACCUUCAACAUUUGUCAGCAUCAUAAAUGAUUGCAUUAUUGCUAACAAGGCUGUUGUCAUUGUGAAGGGCCUUGAUGAGUGGCCUAAUGAGUACCAGAGACAGUAUGGGACUAUUGACCUCUACUGGAUUGUGAGAGAUGGAGGAUUGAUGCUGCUUCUGUCUCAGCUCCUGCUCACAAAAGAGAGCUUUGAAAGCUGCAAAAUCCAAGUGUUCUGCAUAGCGGAAGAGGAUACUGAUGCUGAGGAGCUAAAGGCUGAUGUAAAAAAGUUCUUGUAUGAUCUUCGAAUGCAUGCUGAGGUCAUUGUUGUGACUAUGAAGUCAUGGGAACCACACAUGGAGACCAGUAGCAGUGGUGCCCAGCAGGAUGAUUCUCAAGAGGCUUACAGGAGUGCACAGCGAAGAAUCAGUACAUACCUCUCUGAAAUGAAGGAAACCACACAAAGAGAAGGACGUCCGCUAACGGAGGAUGGGAAGCAAGUAGUUGUGAAUGAACAGAAGAUCGAGAAAUUCCUCUAUACAAUGUUCAAGCUAAACUCCACAAUACUUAGAUACUCCAGAAUGGCAGCUGUGGUGCUAGUAAGCCUACCUCCACCGCCUCUAAACCACCCUGCGUAUUUCUACAUGGAGUACAUGGAUCUGCUUGUAGAGAAUGUCCCACGGAUGUUGAUAGUUAGGGGAUACAGAAGAGAUGUUGUCACAUUCUUCACAUGAUUAAAAAGAUUAAUAUAUACCUUUUGCUGCUCUACAGCCAUUUGGUUGUUGUAAUAUCAUCAUAGCAAAGUGGACAAGCAGAUUUAUUUGCAGAUUUUACAGCUGAAAGUCAGAAGCCAUCACCUUGAAGGCUACAUACCCUGACAUAAGAGAUCUGCUGGGCCUUUCACUCGCAUAUUGGUUGAUGUAAAAUGAGCAAACUGAGGCUGAGGGGCCAUUAUCUUGGCUUGUGAUUAAAGAAUAUUUCGUUGGCAUGUUGUUGAUUAGCAUGAGGUUUACUGGUUUAUACUGAUAAAAUGUGAAUCAGCUGUAAUGAUUGGAACAUACAGGGUGUGGAACUUCAUGUGCUAGUCAUCAAAGUUUAGAAUGCCGGAGAUGUCUAGGGUCAAUGAAAUCACCACCUCGGAUAUAUUUUCAUCAAAGUUUAGUGUUUGUCAUGUGUGUUAUAAAUAUUUGAGGGAUCACAUCACUUAUGAACUUGGCCAGAAGGCUAAUGACAAAUUAGUGACACUACCAUGUAUUAUAGUUUUUUUUUUCUUGCACCGUUGCAUGUAGCACUUUGCUUUGAAUGUUGAUCUCGCGCUCUAUAAGUUGAUCAUAUUGUACCGUUGCAUAUUGUACC